rnacentral:rRNA from 1 species
CUACGUGCCAGCAGCCGCGGUAAUACGGAAGGUCCGGGCGUUAUCCGGAUUUAUUGGGUUUAAAGGGAGCGUAGGCCGGGGAUUAAGUGUGUUGUGAAAUGUAGACGCUCAACGUCUGACUUGCAGCGCAUACUGGUUCCCUUGAGUACGCACAACGUUGGCGGAAUUCGUCGUGUAGCGGUGAAAUGCUUAGAUAUGACGAAGAACUCCGAUUGCGAAGGCAGCUGACGGGAGCGCAACUGACGCUUAAGCUCGAAGGUGCGGGUAUCGAACAGGAUUAGAUACCCUGGUAGUCCGCACGGUAAACGAUGGAUGCCCGCUGUUGGUACCUGGUAUCAGCGGCUAAGCGAAAGCAUUAAGCAUCCCACCUGGGGAGUACGCCGGCAACGGUGAAACUCAAAGGAAUUGACGGGGGCCCGCACAAGCGGAGGAACAUGUGGUUUAAUUCGAUGAUACGCGAGGAACCUUACCCGGGCUUGAA